UACGUAGGGCGCAAGCGUUGUCCGGAAUUAUUGGGCGUAAAGAGCUCGUCGGCGGUCUGUUACGUCCGCUGUGAAAACCCAGGGCUUAACCCUGGGCUUGCAGUGGAUACGGGUAGACUAGAGGCAGGUAGGGGAGAAUGGAAUUCCCGGUGUAGCGGUGAAAUGCGCAGAUAUCGGGAGGAACACCGGUGGCGAAGGCGGUUCUCUGGGCCUGACCUGACGCUGAGGAGCGAAAGCGUGGGGAGCGAACAGG
rnacentral:rRNA from 1 species